rfam:Ixodes scapularis strain Wikel colony gcontig_1108378601320, whole genome shotgun sequence.
GCAAUUGUGGCCGAGUGGUUAAGGCGAUAAACUAGAAAUACAUUGAGGUCUCCCCGCACAGGUUCAAAUCCUGUCAACUGCG